rnacentral:rRNA from 1 species
CCUACGGGUGGCAGCAGUGAGGAAUAUUGGUCAAUGGGCUUACGCCUGAACCAGCCAAGUCGCGUGAGGGAAGACUGCCCUAUGGGUUGUAAACCUCUUUUGUCAGGGAGCAAUUGGCGCUACGUGUAGCGUUAUCGAGAGUACCUGAAGAAAAAGCAUCGACUAACUCCGUGCCAGCAGCCGCGGUAAUACGGAGGAUGCGAGCGUUAUCCGGAUUUAUUGGGUUAAAGGGGUGCGUAGGCGGAAUGCCAAGUCAGCGGUAAAAUCGCGGGGCUCAACCUCGCUCCGCCGUUGAAACUGGCGGUCUUGAGUGGGCGAGAGGUAUGCGGAAUGCGUGGUGUAGCGGUGAAAUGCAUAGAUAUCACGCAGAACUCCGAUUGCGAAGGCAGCAUACCGGCGCCCAACUGACGCUGAAGCACGAAAGCGUGGGUAGCGAACAGGAUUAGAUACCCCAGUAGUC